UACGAACUGUGCGAACGUUAUUCGGAAUCACUGGGCUUAAAGCGCGUGUAGGCGGAUGGGAACGUCGGCCACUGAAAGCCCCGGCUCAACCGGGAAGUGGUGCCGAAACGACCCGUCUGGAGGACGUAGGGGGACCUGGAACUUCCGGUGGAGCGGUGAAAGUGCGUUGAGAUCGGAAGGAACGCCCGUGGCGAAAGCGAAGGUCCUGGACGUCAUCUGACGCUGAGACGGCGAAAAGCUGAGGGGAGCCGAACGGGGAUUAAGAAACCCGGAG
rnacentral:rRNA from 1 species